GCGGGUAUGGCGGAAUUGGUAGACGCACCUGGUUUAGGUCCAGACGCGCAAGCGUGGGAGUUCGAGUCUCUCUACCCGCACCA
rnacentral:tRNA from 1 species